AUUGAACGCUGGCGGCAGGCCUAACACAUGCAAGUCGAACGGUAACAGGAAGCAGCUUGCUGCUUUGCUGACGAGUGGCGGACGGGUGAGUAAUGUCUGGGAAACUGCCUGAUGGAGGGGGAUAACUACUGGAAACGGUAGCUAAUACCGCAUAACGUCGCAAGACCAAAGAGGGGGACCUUAGGGCCUCUUGCCAUCGGAUGUGCCCAGAUGGGAUUAGCUAGUAGGUGGGGUAACGGCUCACCUAGGCGACGAUCCCUAGCCGGUCUGAGAGGAUGACCAGCCACACUGGAACUGAGACACGGUCCAGACUCCUACGGGAGGCAGCAGUGGGGAAUAUUGCACAAUGGGCGCAAGCCUGAUGCAGCCAUGCCGCGUGUAUGAAGAAGGCCUUCGGGUUGUAAAGUACUUUCAGCGGGGAGGAAGGGAGUAAAGUUAAUACCUUUGCUCAUUGACGUUACCCGCAGAAGAAGCACCGGCUAACUCCGUG
rnacentral:rRNA from 1 species